AUUGAACGCUGGCGGCAUGCUUUACACAUGCAAGUCGAACGGUAACAGGCCUUCGGGUGCUGACGAGUGGCGAACGGGUGAGUAUGGCAUCGGAAGGGGCCCGGGGGGGGGGGAAAACGCAGCAAAAGCUGUGCAAAAACGCCAGGGGAUCUGGGGAGGAAGGCGGGGGCCCAGCCAGAAAGGUUUGCCCUCGGCCCUUUGAAGGGGCCGAUGUCAGAUUAGGUAGUUGGUGGGGUAAAGGCCUACCAAGCCGACGAUCUGUAGCUGGUCUGAGAGGACGACCAGCCACUCUGGGACUGAGACACGGCCCAGACUCCUACGGGAGGCAGCAGUGGGGAAUUUUGGACAAUGGGCGCAAGCCUGAUCCAGCAAUGCCGCGUGCGGGAAGAAGGCCUUCGGGUUGUAAACCGCUUUUGUACGGAACGAAAAGGCUCUGGCUAAUACCUGGGGCUGAUGACGGUACCGUAAGAAUAAGCACCGGCUAACUACGUG
rnacentral:rRNA from 1 species